GACCCCGUAGCUCAGCAGGGAGAGCGCCACCUUGACAGGGCGGAGGUUUUGAGUUCGAAACUCCUCUGGGGUCA
rnacentral:tRNA from 1 species